rnacentral:lncRNA from 1 species
AGGAUGGAAUACAACUGUGGAAGAGCAGAAAUCAGAUUAUGAGAAGUUGGAGGGUUUGUUGACUUCAAUGUGCUUUAAAAUGUAUGCCAAGAAGGACGAUAUUGCUGUGUGGCAGAAAUCUUCAGAUAGUAGUUGCUACAAUAAGCUUGCUGAGCCAGAUGUCUACCCUGCCAAGUGUGAUGAUAGUCUUGAACCAGAUUCAGCAUGGUACACUCCAAUCCGCCCGUGUGUUGUAGUCCCAAAGCCAGAACUUAAGAAGUCAGCCUUAGAGUCCCUGCCAAAGUGGCCAGAGAGGUUGCAAGUCGCACCUGAACGCAUCUCAAAUGUUCCCGGUGGGAGUAGCAGUGCUUUAAAGCAUGAUGACAGCAAGUGGAAGGUCCGAG